GCGUAGGGUACGUAGGCGGUGAAAAAAGUAGAAAAUUAAAUACUGGAGAAUCAUCCUUUACGUUUUCUUUCUAUUUCACUAGAAUUUAGAUGAGAUAAAGGUACAUUAUAUGGAAGGGUGAUCUGAAGAUAUAUAGAGGACCGACAGUGGUGAAGACAUUUGUCUAUUAAGUAUUGACGCUAAGGUACGAAGGUAUGGGUAUGAAGAGGAUUAGAGACCCUCGUAGUCCAUACUGUAACGCUGAUUGUUCAAUGUGGAAAAUUUGUAAAAUUUAAUAUUUUUAUAACGAAUAAAAUUUUUAAAUGGGAACCUUAUAAAGGUACUUAUCCAAGAAUUUUAUAAAAAAAAAUAUUUUUUAGCGUAGAUUUUUCGGUGUUCUAGUAACGCGUUAAACAAUCCGCCUGGGAAGUACGGUCGCAAGGUGAAACUCAAAAGAAUUGACGGUGACUUGGACAGGG
rnacentral:rRNA from 1 species